rnacentral:tRNA from 1 species
GUUAAUGUAGCUUAACUUAAAGCAGAGCACUGAAAAUGCUAAGAUGAGUACUUAUACUCCAUAAACA